rfam:TPA: Bos taurus chromosome 2, whole genome shotgun sequence.
UCCCUAGUAGCUCAGUUGGUAAAGAAUCUGCCUGCAAUGCAGGAGACCCUGGUUCAAUUCCUGGGUCAGGAA